rnacentral:rRNA from 1 species
UUUCCGGUUGAUCCUGCCAGAGGUUACUGCUAUCGAGAUUCGAUUAAGCCAUGCGAGUUGAAUGUUCUUCGUGAACAUGGCGGACUGCUCAGUAACACGUGGACAACCUACCCUUGGAUCUGGGAUGAACCCGGGAAACUGGGCAUAAUACCGGAUAAGCCACAUAUGCUGGAAUGCUUUGUGGCUCAAAGCUCCGGCGUCCAAGGAUGGGUCUGCGGCCUAUCAGGGUAGUAGUGGGUGUAAUGUACCUACUAGCCUACGACGGGUACGGGUUGUGAGAGCAAGAGCCCGGAGAUGGAUUCUGAGACACGAAUCCAGGCCCUACGGGGUGCAGCAGGCGCGAAAACUUUACAAUGCGGGAAACCGCGAUAAGGGAAUCUCGAGUGCCAGCAUAUAAUGUUGGCUGUCCAGAUGCCUAAAAAGCAUUUGUUAGCAAGGGCCGGGCAAGACCGGUGCCAGCCGCCGCGGUAACACCGGCGGCCCGAGUGGUAACCGUUAUUAUUGGGUCUAAAGGGUCUGUAGCCGGCCGAAUAAGUCUCUUGGGAAAUCUGGCAGCUUAACUGUCAGGCAGUCAGGGGAUACUGUUCGGCUUGGGACCGGGAGAGGUGAGAGGUACCUCGGGGGUAGGGGUGAAAUCUUGUGAUCCUCGAGGGACCACCAGUGGCGAAGGCGUCUCACCAGAACGGGUCCGACGGUAAGGGACGAAAGCUAGGGGCACGAACCGGAUUAGAUACCCGGGUAGUCCUAGCCGUAAACGAUGCUUGCUAGGUGUCAGCCACGGUGCGACCGUGGUUGGUGCCGUAGGGAAGCCGUGAAGCGAGCCACCUGGGAAGUACGGCCGCAAGGCUGAGACUUAAAGGAAUUGGCGGGGGAGCACUACAACGGGUGGAGCUGCGGUUUAAUUGGAUUCAACGCCGGGA